AUAAAGAUGUAGCUAACUGAUCUUCUACAUUUAUAAUCAAGAACUGUUCGUGUUUCAGGUGCUUGUUUCCACUGUAAGGAUUUAAAAUGGCUGACACAAAAAUCAUACUAAAUUCUAUAACUUGUAAAAUAGAGUGAAUGCAAUCACACUUACAAGUUUCAUUGCUCUAGGAGAAAAGGGAAAAUUUUUCUAA